GUGGAAGGCGAAAGCUGAUGGACAGACUCACAGCAUUCCUGCGCACCUGCUGGAUCCAGAUGCUGAUCUCUAGAUCAGGUACAAGACGCAGAGCCCGCCUGCCUCCGCAGUCUGGAAAUUACCAAGGUCGCUUCCCUGCUCCCUGAAUUUCCCUCCUGAGCCACAGUCAUCUUACCUGAAAAGCCAAUUCUGUAUCGCAGAGCUUCCUGAUCUGGCGCUCUUUAAGGAAACCUGAGGAUCGCCAUUCCUCUUUUGUGCAGCGCGCACAAAGGACGGAGUCCUGUGCACACCAGUAGCUUCUCCUGUCUGACCUUCUUCAGAGGAUCAUUUCAGAGAGUGUGUCUCUGUGACACACAUCUGCUUCCUUUUAUUUCUGGAGACCCUAAUUAUAGACGUUAAAUUUGCUAGCUGGGUGUGGCAGCUCAUGCUUGUAAAUCCAGGCUCAAGCAGAAGCACCAGUAGGAAAGGCAGGGCGAGUUUGUUUGUUUGCUUGCUUGCUUUGCUUUGCUUUGCUUUGCUUUGCUUUGCUUUGCUUUGCUUUGCUUUGCUUUGCUUUGCUUUGCUUUGCUUUGCUUUGCUUUGCUCCUCAGGUAAAUUGUAUAUCUGCCACAGCAGCUCUUCUUGUAUUUUUUUUUCCUUGCAUGAUUCUUGUGACACCUCAUAAUUGUCAGGGACAGGAAUAGUCUGCCCACUCCUAACCCCUGACAUAUGAGAUACAGGACCAAGAGUCAACAGAUGUGACCAACUUUCUUCAUGCAGCCACAAUGACGAAAAUAAAAAGGAGCUACGUCUACAGGUGACACUUACUGCAUUGCCAUUUAGGCAUUUUAAUAUGUGUUGUUUGAAUAUUUUACAUAAUUUUAAAAUCGUUGGUGUUACUUUAGGGUUUUGCAACAGGAUUCUAUGGAAUCCAGGCUGGCCUCCAACUUAAUGGCCUUGAACUGCUUGCUGAUCCUCCUGUCUCUGAUGGAGUAGGGGGAGAUGGACAGAGGCCUCUUUGUAUUGUAGAACGGAGUCUGCACCUGCAUGUUAUUACUAGCCUCUAUGCACUGUUCCAUGUUCACUCUCCGGCCCAGGUGGCACCUGGAGGAGUGGGUGUUAACAACAGACACUAACUACACUCAGCAUUCUGAGGAGCGCUUGAGCCCAGGAUUCCAGAGAAUGAGGGAAAUAUGCACGGGAUUAUAACAACGAAGACUCGAAGACUCGGGCAAUCACAAGUCUCAACACUUUGGUGAUCACCAAACAACGAGGUAUAUUUUAUCUAACUUAGAAUAAUCAAGAACAGGGCUGGAGAGAUGGCUCUUGCUAUGAGUUCAAUCCUUGGGAACCACCCAACACCCAGGGCUGUCUUCUGAUUUCCACAUGUAUGCCAUGGUACACACAUAUGAGUAAAUAAAUGUAAAAAAAAAUGAAUAAGUUUCAGGAACUGGAAAGAUUAGUUGGCGGUAAAGAGUACUGGCUGCUCUUCUAGAGGACCUAAGUUCAAUUCUCAGCACACACAUGGCCUCUUACAAACAGCUAUAGCUGUAGUGCUAUGGAAUCAGAUGCUGCCUUCUGGUUUGCAGAUGUACAUGCAGACAAAACACCUAUAUACAUAAAACACACAAAUAAAUCUUUCUUUAAAAAUAAA